GAGCGGCGAACGGGUGAGUAACACGUGAGUAACCUGCCCCAUGCUUUGGGAUAACCCUCGGAAACGGGGGCUAAUACCGGAUAUGACUUCUGGCCGCAUGGUCGGGGGUGGAAAGUUUUUCGGCGUGGGAUGGGCUCGCGGCCUAUCAGCUUGUUGGUGGGGUGAUGGCCUACCAAGGCGACGACGGGUAGCCGGCCUGAGAGGGCGACCGGCCACACUGGGACUGAGACACGGCCCAGACUCCUACGGGAGGCAGCAGUGGGGAAUAUUGCACAAUGGGCGGAAGCCUGAUGCAGCGACGCCGCGUGAGGGAUGACGGCCUUCGGGUUGUAAACCUCUUUCAGCACCGACGAAGCGAGAGUGACGGUAGGUGCAGAAGAAGCGCCGGCCAACUACGUGCCAGCAGCCGCGGUAAGACGUAGGGCGCGAGCGUUGUCCGGAUUUAUUGGGCGUAAAGAGCUCGUAGGCGGCUUGUCGCGUCGACUGUGAAAACCCGCGGCUCAACCGCGGGCCUGCAGCCGAUACGGGCAGGCUAGAGUUCGGUAGGGGAGACUGGAAUUCCU
rnacentral:rRNA from 1 species